rnacentral:rRNA from 1 species
UACGUAGGGUGCGAGCGUUAAUCGGAAUUACUGGGCGUAAAGUGUGCGCAGGCGGCCGCGCAAGUCGAGUGUGAAAUCCCCGAGCUUAACUUGGGAAUUGCGCUCGAAACUACGUGGCUGGAGUGUGGCAGAGGAAGGUGGAAUUCCACGUGUAGCGGUGAAAUGCGUAGAGAUGUGGAGGAACACCGGUGGCGAAGGCAGCCUUCUGGGCCAACACUGACGCUCAUGCACGAAAGCGUGGGGAGCAAACAGG